UGUUUUUUUCCUCUCAUCUCCAUUGUUUUCUAAGAAACCCAGAUCGUUACCAAUUCGGUUUCAAUGGAGUCGCUUUUUGCAAAAUAUUGAGAAGCUCUGCCCACCAACUGACCCAUCCUCUCCAGGCCUUUCUGAAAUUUAUGGCAUGUUGACUCAUCACAGAUUCUUAAAUUUUUUUCACACAAUUGUGUUAUGGACCAAAUUUACUUCAAGCCAGUACAACAUAAUGGCUUGUUUUUUCUGCAUUCUGGGAUUAUUAUAAGGCUAGAGAUGCUUUGAUACAGUUGUUUCAUAACCUUGUCAAGCUUUAACACUUAGCGGUUAUAGUUUCUCGACAGUAUUUAGUGAAAGGAGCAGCCAUUAGUUAUCUUGAUGCAAAGAGCUGUAUAAGUAAGAUGCAAGAGAGCAAUAUAAUUAAGAUGCAAAUAGCCAUAUUCAAACUUGAGCCACAAGGGGCCUAAAGGAAUAUGGAAAAAGUGCACUGGACAGCAUAACAGAUACUGAUCCAAUUGUUUCAAAUUUGGAUUUGAUUCAUUUAUGCGAAACUCAGUUGUAAAAGAUAAUUUUUGAUAAUAAAAGAUAAAGAUUUUUUUAGGCUUGGGAGGAAGAAGACUGCUGGGAUUUCCAGGUCUCUUCCUCUCUCUGUUGUGGGUGGGUGUGGUGUGGUGUGUGUCCCCCUCUCUCUUUUACUUGCUUUCUUUCCCUUUCCAAUUUCUCUUUACAUUCUUCUCUCUUUGCUUCUCUUUUCUCUAUCUCUAUUACAUUUUCCUCUUGACUUUUUUUUCUGUUUUGUCUCUUUCUUUUACAUCUCUCCUUUCUCUUUUAUAUCUUCCUUUACUUUCUCUCUUUAGUCUUUUUUUUUUUCCUGCUUUUCUCCUUCUGUUUACUUCUACACUGUCUUUGUGUUUAGUUAUCCUUUCUACUUUCUAAUGCUUUUUAUCUUUUCAUUUUCUUCUUAUUACAAUUCUUGUCUACUUUCUCAAAUUAUUAUUAUUUUUUUUUUCACUUUCUAGUUGCAAUUCUUA